CUUGCUAAAGACAGUGGACCUGGGAAGAGUCCUGCUGUGGAACUCCUAAGCAGUAUUCAUGCACCUAACGUACAUAGAAGAUGUAUGUUUUCCCAAAGGACCUCCAAGCUACAUCUUUGUUUUCAUUGAAAAAAGUUAAGCAAAUUAAAAGUUUGCCCUUCUUUCCAAGACAGAUGAAUUGUAAUGAGAAACUGCAGCAACCCCUGUCUUGACUGCAACAGCAACUGUGGCGCAGGGGCGGAGUGGGGUGGAUCAGGAGUUUUCGCGGCGGGCCGGCCAAUGAGUCUGCGCGGUGCGGGCCGGCCCAUAGAGCUUUAAUGGCCGCGAGUCGUACGCAGCCAUCGACCUGAGAGAUGCAUUAAGAAUUUUCCGCGAAAAUCUCCGAGACCUAUACUUGAGCAGAUGGGAA